rnacentral:rRNA from 1 species
UACGGGGGGAGCAAGCGUUGUUCGGAUUUACUGGGCGUAAAGGGCGCGUAGGCGGCCACCGCAAGUCGACUGUGAAAUCUCCGGGCUUAACCCGGAAAGGUCAGCCGAUACUGCGGGGCUAGAGUGCAGAAGAGGCAACUGGAAUUCUCGGUGUAGCGGUGAAAUGCGUAGAUAUCGAGAGGAACACCUGCGGCGAAGGCGGGUUGCUGGGCUGACACUGACGCUGAGGCGCGAAAGCUAGGGGAGCGAACGGG